AUGGGCCCUGGGCUCCUCUGCUGGGAACUGCUUUAUCUCCUGGGAGCAGGCCCAGUGGAGGCUGGAGUCACCCAAAGUCCCACACACCUGAUCAAAACGAGAGGACAGCAAGUGACUCUGAGAUGCUCUCCUAUCUCUGGGCACAGCAGUGUGUCCUGGUACCAACAGGCCCCGGGUCAGGGGCCCCAGUUUAUCUUUGAAUAUGCUAAUGAGUUAAGGAGAUCAGAAGGAAACUUCCCUAAUCGAUUCUCAGGGCGCCAGUUCCAUGACUAUUGCUCUGAGAUGAAUGUGAGUGCCUUGGAGCUGGGGGACUCGGCCCUGUAUCUCUGUGCCAGAAGCUUGG